CAAACUUGAGAGUUUGAUCCUGGCUCAGAACGAACGCUGGCGGCAUGCCUAACACAUGCAAGUCGAACGAAGGCUUCGGCCUUAGUGGCGCACGGGUGCGUAACGCGUGGGAAUCUGCCCUUGGGUUCGGGAUAACAGUGAGAAAUUACUGCUAAUACCGGAUGAUGACUUCGGUCCAAAGAUUUAUCGCCCAGGGAUGAGCCCGCGUUGGAUUAGCUAGUUGGUGGGGUAAAGGCCUACCAAGGCGACGAUCCAUAGCUGGUCUGAGAGGAUGAUCAGCCACACUGGGACUGAGACACGGCCCAGACUCCUACGGGAGGCAGCA
rnacentral:rRNA from 1 species